AUGCAACAUAUGCAGCAAAACCUUGAUCCCCAGGAAGGGACCUCGUCGGCCGCUGUUCACCCUAAGCAGCAAAACCCAAACCCAAGAGGGAAAAACAAGGCAUCAAAUGGAGGGACUCCAUCUGAUGCUGCCAAACAAAAGGGUGCAAACAAGAAGAAGAUGCAGAAAAAUGCAAACCCAAACCCCAGAGCCAAAAACCCUGGACCCAAUCGAGGGCCUUGGCCACAUCAGCCCAAUGCCCACUUUAAACCCAAUAAUGGGCCUGGGCAACAUUGGCAAAAUCCACGGUUUGUGCCAAAACAAGGGCCUGUGCCACAUCAGCCCAAUGCCCACUUUAAACCCAAUAAUGGGCCUGGGCAACAUUGGCAAAAUCCACGGUUUGUGCCAAAACAAGGGCCUGUGCCACAUCAGCCCAAUGCCCACUUUAAACCCAAUAAUGGGCCUGGGCAACAUUGGCAAAAUCCAUGGUUUGUGCCAAAACAAGGGCCUGUGCCACAUCAGCCCCAUCCUGACCAUAACACCAACGAUGGGCCAUCUCAGCCACAGCCUCACUUAACACCAAAUGAUGGCAGUCGUCCAUACAAUGAGACUGAUGAACUGGGUGCGCUGAGAUUCCACCUGCAGGAGGCUCAGAACAUGUGCAAAACCAAUCUAUACAAAAUGACAGCUGCAAACCACAAAGCUGCUGCAGCUAAAACUCAGAAUGAUUGGGUUCGCUUUCAGCUACAGUGCUGCAGAGGAAACGCUCAAAAAACCAUCCUUGAGCUCCAAAAACAGCUGGAAGAGUCUCGUAGAAAGACACCCGAGGAGAACUUCACCCCUGAGGUGAGUGAGGCUCCUGCUGAAGACAGCAACACAGCUGUCACAGCUGCAGAGCUGAGUGUGGACGCUUCAACACAAACUGCAGAAGCUCCACACACAGAUUCUACAGAUGUGAAAACCGAUCGAGAAGCUGAGUUGGAGAUCCAGUGCAAAAAACAGCAAGAAGAGAUCAAACAACUCCGUGAGCAGCUCCUCAAAACUCAAAAGAAUCUAGAAGAGGAAGCUGCAAAGCGUGAAGAUCAGGAACAAAGAGCCAACUGUGAGCUCACUGAGCUGAAAGACAAACUCAGCACCAGUGAGGCUCUUUGUGAAAAAAAUGAUUUGAAGGCACAAAACUUAAAAGAAGAGCUGGAGAAAACCAAAGCUUCCCACCUGGAAAUCGUGGAGAAGCAAAACCUGGGGAACACAACGAUCUGCAACCAACUCAGGCAAGCAGAAGAAGAAAAGAUCUCACUUCUGGAGUUUUUGCAGUAUCUGCAAGAGACAAUGGAAAAGCAAGAAGACCAGUCCAAUGUUGCCCGAGAAGACAAAGUGCCAAAAGAAAAACCAAAAAAGAAAAAGAAGCGCAGUUGGUUUUGGAGACUAUUCACUUAA
rnacentral:lncRNA from 1 species